AAGCGUUGUCCGGAUUUAUUGGGCGUAAAGAGCGUGUAGGCGGUUCGGUAGGUCCGUUGUGAAAACUCGAGGCUCAACCUCGAGACGCCGAUGGAAACCCUCUAACUAGAGUCCGGAAGAGGAGAGUGGAAUUCCUGGUGUAGCGGUGAAAUGCGCAGAUAUCAGGAAGAACACCAGUGGCUAAGGCGGCUCUCUAGUACGGUACUGACGCUGAGACGCGAAAGCGUGGGGAGCGAACAGG
rnacentral:rRNA from 1 species